rnacentral:rRNA from 1 species
GACCUCGCACAAGCGGUGGAUCAUGUUGUUUAAUUCGAGGAUACGCGAAGAACCUUACCAGGCCUUGACAUCCCUUGCGAAGCUAUAGAGAUAUAGUAGAGGUUAUCAAGGAGACAGGUGGUGCAUGGUUGUCGUCAGCUCGUGUCGUGAGAUGUUGGGUUAAGUCCCGCAACGAGCGCAACUCUUAUCGUUAUUUGCCAUCAUUAAGUUGGGCACUAUAACGAGACUGCCAGUGAUAAAUUGGAGGAAGGUGGGAAUGACGUCAAAUCAUCAUGCCCCUUAUGGCCUGGGCUACAAACGUGAUACAAUGGUUGGAACAAAGGGAGGCAAAGCUGUGAAGCCAAGCGAACCCCAUAAAAACAAUCUCAGUUCGGAUUGAAGUCUGCAACUCGACUUCAUGAAGUCGGAAUCGCUAGUAAUCGUAGAUCAGAACGCUACGGUGAAUACGUUCUCGAGGUUU